rnacentral:rRNA from 1 species
CGAACGUUAGCGGCAGGCUUAACACAUGCAAGUCGAGCGACAAAGGGGGCUUCGGCCCUGAGUAGAGCGGCGGACGGGUGCGUAACACGUGGAUAAUCUGCCUCGUGGCGGGGGAUAACAGUCCGAAAGGACUGCUAAUACCGCAUGUCAGGUCGGAAACCCCGGUUUCUGACGAAAAAGAGGGCGCCCGCAAGGGGCUCUCACCACGAGAUGAGUCCGCGGCCCAUCAGCUAGUUGGCGGUGUAAUAGACCACCAAGGCUAAGACGGGUAGCUGGUCUGAGAGGAUGACCAGCCACACUGGGACUGAGACACGGCCCAGACUCCUACGGGAGGCAGCAGUGGGGAAUAUUGGACAAUGGGCGAAAGCCUGAUCCAGCCAUGCCGCGUGAGUGAUGAAGGUCUUCGGAUCGUAAAGCUCUGUGGGAAGGGACGAAAAAGACCUAACCUAAUACGUUAGGUCUUGACGGUACCUUCUUAGCAAGCACCGGCUAACUCCGUGCCAGCA